CCUUCCAGUCUCCGAGGCAAAGAUUUCAUCCUGAAAAACCUCCCUCCAGCCACGGUCAGGUUGCAUAAAACACUUAGAUUAUGGAAAAGCCACGACUAACAGAGUGAAAUGCAGAUUUGCUGGAGCAAAACACUGAGGAAUGAGGGCAUCCGAGGACUGAUGCUCCCUCUGCCUCCCGUGACAUCUAGCAUCUCACAUGAACCGAGGGUAAACAGUCUGCAGCAAGAGCGGGCCCUAGCGCAGAUCAGCUCGGGAUGGUUUAGGAGACAAGCUGCUGAAGGUCAUGUUUCUCCAGCGCCAGCGCCGGGAACUGCAGCAGCCCGAGUGGCUCUGCAGAGCUGCAAGGUCCUUCUGCAGUGACACAAAAGACUCCGGCGCAACAGGCUCCUGGGAAAUGUAGUCUGUCACCAAGGUUGCUCUGUGCCUGGAAACUGGUGCUGCAGGACCUUUUAAAUGAGCCUGACUACAGUUGGAUGCUUGCAUGGACAUCUCUGUGAUGUGUGGAGAAGAGAA